UUGAUUAGUAUAUACAGUACAGCUUCUUUCCAAGUAGUAAGCCUACUAACAGUAGAUUAAAA
rnacentral:tRNA from 1 species